UACGUAGGUGGCGAGCGUUGUCCGGAAUUACUGGGCGUAAAGGGCGCGUAGGCGGCGACUCUAGUCAGAUGUGAAAGUCCUGGGCUUAACCUGGGAACUGCAGUCGAUACUGGUGGACUAGAGUACGGUAGGGGAGUCUGGAAUUCCUGGUGUAGCGGUGAAAUGCGCAGAUAUCAGGAGGAACACCGGUGGCGAAGGCGGGACUCUGGGCCGAUACUGACGCUGGAGGAGCGAAAGCGUGGGGAGCAAACAGG
rnacentral:rRNA from 1 species